UACGGAGGAUGCGAGCGUUAUCCGGAUUUAUUGGGUUUAAAGGGUGCGUAGGCGGAUCGUUAAGUCAGUGGUCAAAUUGAGGGGCUCAACCCCUUCCCGCCAUUGAAACUGGCAAUCUUGAGUGGAAGAGAAGUAUGCGGAAUGCGUGGUGUAGCGGUGAAAUGCAUAGAUAUCACGCAGAACCCCGAUUGCGAAGGCAGCAUGCCGGCUUCCGACUGACGCUGAAGCACGAAAGCGUGGGGAUCGAACAGG
rnacentral:rRNA from 1 species